rnacentral:rRNA from 1 species
GUGCCAGCCGCCGCGGUAAUACGUAGGGUGCGAGCGUUAAUCGGAAUUACUGGGCGUAAAGCGUGCGCAGGCUGUUUUGUAAGUCAGAUGUGAAAUCCCCGAGCUCAACUUGGGAACUGCGUUUGAAACUACAAGACUAGAAUAGGUCAGAGGGGGGUAGAAUUCCACGUGUAGCAGUGAAAUGCGUAGAGAUGUGGAGGAAUAUCAAUGGCGAAGGCAGCCCCCUGGGAUCAUAUUGACGCUCAUGCACGAAAGCGUGGGGAGCAAACAGGAUUAGAUACCCUGGUAGUCCACGCCCUAAACGAUGUCUACUAGUUGUUGGUGGAGUAAAAUCCAUGAGUAACGCAGCUAACGCGUGAAGUAGACCGCCUGGGGAGUACGGUCGCAAGAUUAAAACUCAAAUGAAUUGACGG